AAUUAACACGGGGGAGGCACCCCUCCGUCUCCCACUUCCACCCACACCCCCAUCCCUCCACCCCCUCCGCUUUGCAGGAAAAAGCCUGGAUGCGAAAGGAUGGGGGAGAACAAAGAGCCUUUGGAAGACGUCGCUGUUAUCUCAUUGUCUGUGUGAUUGGGGGAGCUGCGGCGGGGAGGAUGCUGUGGUCCCUUCCUCCGGCGUUCCCCACCCCCAUCCCUCUCCCCGCUGUCAGUGCGCACGCACACGCGCCGCUUUUUAUUUCUUUUUCCUGGUUUUCUUAUUCCAUCUUCUACCCACCCCUCUUCCUUUCUUUCACCUUUCCUUCCUUCCUUCCUCCUUUCCUUCCUCAGGAGAAAGGCCUCUCUCUCCGUGUUCACAGCGGACCUUGAUUUAAAUGUCCAUACAAUUAAGGCACGCGGUGAAUGCCAAGAAUGGGGCUGGCUGAGCACCGUGGGUCGGCGAGGGCCCGCCAAGGAAGGAGCGACCGACCGAGCCAGGCGCCCUCCGCAGACCUCCGCGCAGCGGCCGCGGGCGCGAGGGGAGGGGUCUGGAGCUCCCUCCGGCUGCCUGUCCCGCACCGGAGCCCGUGGGGUGGGGAGGUGUGCAGCCUGUGACAGACAGGGGCUUAGAGAUGCAAACAGACUCAGGGAGAGAAACAGAAGCUGAUUCUGUGACAGAAGCAGAUCUGUGCAGCACAGAUGCGGUGUGCGUGGGGAGGGGGUCGCCUGGGAGCGCAUUGCGGAGUGCUUGUGUGUGCAGAUUUUUCUCUGGGCUCAGGACUCAUUGUAUGUGGGUCAACACCUUCCUCCGUGACUGUGUUUUUGUUCUGAGCUGAGUUUUUUGGUUUGCCCUUAAAAAAAUAAUAAUUUGGCAUCCAGAGACUGGCAGACUGCCUCAGGGCCUGGACUGCGGAUAUAUUGUGUUCUGCUUGAGGUUUGGGGAGGAGGGCAGGCGGUAGGAAGGGAGAGGGGGAGCUGUUUGUCACACUUUGCUGUAGAGCUGAGAGCACCUGACAAGCUUAAGGAAGUCGUUGGGCUAUGUGGACAAGAAGGAGCCAGCUCCCAGCGGGUUCACAAGCUCUAUCGGAGUUGAAAGCGUGGUCAUGGCUCUAAGGAGCACCUCACGCCCUCCCUGUAGCUGUUAUUGCAGUUUCAGGCAGAGAUCCAGGAGCUGCAGAGGAAGGGAGAGGCACAAUAACCUACAUGGACCCAAGGGAGACAUGUGUUCCUUUAAAAAUGUGAACAGAAGGAAAAACAGAAUGUGUGCAACUGGGGGUCUGAGGAAAGACUGUUUUGAAAGAGGCUGUCAGGGAAUGGAAAGGGUUAAGCUUUUCAUCCUGAAGAACCUGCUUCCCAAAUCAGGCCUUCCUCCCAUCACUAGACCCUGAGCAGCAGCUGGUCCUAGAGACCCCCCUCGUACUGCGCUGCCACAGUCUCAUCCCAUUUCCAGCUCUGUAUUAACCACCAAGCUGCAGCGGAUGGGGCAAGACCUAAGCUCAUUAAUUUCCAGGUGGAGGAAAUGGAGGAGGGGCAGGUCCCUGCAGUAGAGGGAGGAGCAGAGAAAGGAGGCCAAGAGCUGGAUCCUUCUGCCCAGGAAGCCUGCUGCAUCCCUUCCCCCGAGCAUGGCAGAGGCCUGGCUUUGCAAGGCCAAGGCCAUAAGGGAUGCUUAGGAGAUUAAUUUGAUUCCUGACACAAUAAUCAAGCCCUAAGAGUCUCCACUGAAGCUUACUGAGGACUUCUUUCCUCUCCAAAGCCUCAGUCUAGCCUGCUAAAUAAAUUAGUAUUCAGUGAUGCCUUGGAUCAGGGCCCCUCCCCGGCCUCAGUUUCCCCAAAUAUUUAUUAAGUACCUACUGUGUGCAAUCCUUGUGUAAUUAUUAACUCUUAGGCUCUUCAUUUGCCCUCCUAAAGCAGUGUUUAGAGUCAGGCAGAGGUUAAGUGUGUUGCACCUCACCUAGAUACUUCCAGAACCUUCUCUGGGUCUGCAGAAUGUGGCACAACCUGCUUGCCCCCGCAGAGAGAAAGCUGCAGUGCACAUCCUGCAGACUGCAGGUGCUGGGCUGCCUCUGGAGUCCCAGAAGGCAAGCUUGGCUGCAGGACAGAAAGGGAGAACAGCUUCUCUCACCCCUGAGCCUUCACAAGCCCUUGUCUAUUUGCCGUUGCCUUCAAAAUAUACCUCCCCCGAAACCAGUAGCUUUCUGAGUCCUGGUGUCCCCUCCGCCCUUUCUGGACAGGUUUGGGAAGAAGAAAGCAGUCAGUGCUGGGCCUUAUUGGGGUGUGAAGCGCCUUGCUCUGCCCCUUCUGCUCACUGUGAAGGCCGCUGGAUGCUUCUCUUAGGCAUGGUUUAAGCCUCCGAUUACUAAACCCCUUGCCCCACAAACGUCCACAUUGACGAGCCUCUUUUUAGUAACUGCUUCCCCGUAAUUCCUUCAGAGGUUGCUGUACCCUUCGCUGAUGUGCUGCCCUCCUGUAAAACCUCCAGAUGCCUUCCCACGUAAUGCCCCUUUCAGAUGCUUUAAGCUGAGAGCUUAAACCACAGGUACCAUGGCUGACGCCUGCCAGGUUUCUGCUGCAGAUAAUCUAUGAUGGGAGGGGCAUAUUUUUUACUUCAUUACUUAUGUAAACUCUUGUUCCAGAAAGCUUUAAUGUGUGUGGGAGUGUUCUGGGUCUAUUAGGUCUGUGCGCAUGGGUGUGGGCAUUUGCCUGUGUCCACCGGGUGGGUCUCAUUAUGAAAUGUAUGUUUAUGUAGGGCUUUAAUGGCUGAAAAUGGCAAAGAGAUGAAUAGACCACUUGGCCCCAUGUGUAAUUGCCAGGCCCCUUCUGUGCUCAAAUGAGGUGUCCGAGUGAAGGUCAGCCCUUCCCUUCUGUAUUUGGGGCCUAUUUAUGCCACCAGUAAUUUUAUAAGAAAUCUGAAUAGUUCUCCCCUUUGAGUGCAUUUAACUCUUUAGUAUCUUCUCUCUUACCUAUUUGAGCCCCUCUAGCUACAGUCUGGCUUAAAUGAAAGGGGAAUUAUAUGCUUAAGAAAAAGUAGGACACGGUUGAGGCAGUUUGCUGACUGAAUACGCGAAGAAGGACCUGAUGGGCUCAUAUGCACCACUGCCAUCACAGUCCCCAUCGUGAUGCAAGCUUAUAUGAUUCUUGAGGUAACUCUACCAGAUACUUCCAGAUUUAGAAAUGUGUCAAAGGAAAAAUUGGUGAUACUCUUCUUUCCCCUGCCAGAAACAGCCCAGAUCUCCUCUUAAGCGGAAAAGAGAUUGACCUUCUAGCAGAGGCAAAGGUAAACUCCUGUAAGUUACUUCUGUUACCAAAGGGAGGGGGGCGGCUUUUGUGAAUGUAUGAGGAGCUUUUGCCAGAGAGAUAUUCGGAGGAGGGGUGUGCCCAUAUGCACACAUAUAUUUUCCCGCAUAACCGUAUCCAAUGCUAGCAUUUAGAGGAAGGCAUUUAGCCACCAAAAGUCCAUCCAUCUAUGCUGCUUCCACAGAGAAAACAUUUUCUCUUUCCUCCUCUUGAACUUACAUAAUAUCCUCCUCCCAUUCCAACCUUAGAAUGGAGUCUUCUGGGGGCAGCUGCAAAGCGUUCUCCCUAGGACAGAUGGAGCCUCCCUUUCCUCAUCUACUCUGUGGGUGGUUUCAGGGCCCACGAGUCAACAUGAGGAGUUGUGCUGGUGGUAUGUGUGUUGGAGGCUGGGCUGGCUGAUUCACAGUGACGAGGAUGUCAAUAAUAACAAGAAUGAGAAUGAUGGUACCUAAUAAAGACUUUUUUUCCCAAGUCCCAUCUACAAUUCUUUCAUUGGGUGUUUUGCCAAGUCUUUCUCAAUCUCAUCUCAGCUUUUUUUUUUUUUUUAAAGAAAAUGUAUUCAAUACUUAAUUGCAUCACAAAUGUAGACAUAGAAGAAAGGACUUCAAACGGAAUUUAUGGGAGGCAAUGUGUGCGGCUUUUUGCCUUAUAGAGCUGUGUAGAAGGUCUGGAAUGAUCUUCCAGCACCAAAUUUAGAUGGCCUCAAAAAAAAAAAAAAAAAAAAAAAAAUCAGGCCUUAUUGAGGGCAAGGAAUGUUCCAGGUCAGAAAUAAAAGUGUCAGCAACUCUCAAUAGGUUCAUCUUUUUAUUUCCUGUCCUUCUCCCUUUUGUCUUAAAAUAGAAACGCUACCAAGACCUGAGGGCCUGGGUCAGGGGCCGGGAAGCCCAGAAAACAAACUUCCAGAAUCACUAAGGGCUUUCUCUCUCAAAAUUACAGUGGGAGGGUUCUUUUGAAAUUCAAAUCCAACCUAUUUGUUGCUUAAGCACACACAAAAUACUGAGACCUGGGGUCCAAGAGGCAAUACUUCCGCUGCAAGUGCAUGUUGCAACUUCGCGUGAUGUUCCCAGGGCGGUUCUGCGGCAACUUGCGGCUCCGCGACUGUGGGCGCGGGCCCCAUUUCGGGCCCCGUCGGCCGGGACCGCGCCCAGGGCUUCUCAAGUGACUCGCUUCCCAGCACGCAAGAGGCAUUCUCGUCUCUUUCUCUUCGAAUGCACCCGAGACUUCUCCAUGAAGCAAGGAGAAGAUGAGCAGGCGCUGGUUUCCCUUUUCUUUUUUGCUCCCAUUUCCCAGUCUUGAUUUUUUUUUUCCCUUUCUCUCUCUCUCCCGAAUCAUGCAGACCUGGAACUCCUAAGAUUCGGGUCCUCCUGCAGUUCCCAAAGCUUUGGAUCCAUCCGAGGUGUGGGUAGAUGCGGGUUAGUCUCAGGGUCUUUCUAGGAUGAGCCCCAAGCCCAAGUUCUAAGGCGAGGGGGAGGCGAAGAGGUCAGGGCUACAAACGCCAGGGACUGUCCCCGGAGAGGUCAUUUUUCCAUUUUCCAUGCACAUCGAUUUCACUCUAGCGCCAGAUGGACACUCGACGGUCAACGUUAGAGAUUUUUCCGGAGUCGGGGGCAGGAAGCGGGACGAAUUGAGACGAGGGUACAUCCUUUGCUUCCAAGGGUGGCCGAGCCAGACCGAAGGCCUGGGCGGGAGGUCACGUCCUCCCCUGGCCACCCACAGCGCUCCCCAGCCGCAGGCCUGGGCCUAGAAGCCGCGCCCUCCCGGCCGUGCAGCCGGUCAGCCUGUGCGCCCGGCGCCCGCAGUGCGGCUCCGGGCCUCUCUCUGAUCCACUUCAGUACCUGCGGCCUCGAGGACCCCACCGUGCAUCCCGGAAAGCCUCAGAACUUGCAAGAAAGAGGGGCUGGCAGGUGCAGCCUGGGAAGAGGACCCCGCCGCGAAAGCGCUUGGGGGUUGGGUUUUAUUUGCUGGAGUGGGGGGUCCGUCUCAGUGCAUCCUCCUGGAUUCCCCAUUAGGACGCCCCGCCCAUACAUCCAGCCUCCUCUCCCGGAUACCCCCAGUGACCCGGCCAGGGAGCGGGCAUCUUCCCCCAGGACCCAGAGACGUGUCCUCGCCAUCCCCAAACACCGUCCUUCCCCACCCCCGCAACCCUCUCCACAGAAGCCAAAACCACAACAAAAAUCUUCAACCCACAAAGAAAAAGACACAUUCCUCCUUCGGCCUUAGUCAGCGUUAGUUCCAGAUCCGAAGCCGGAGGGGACGGAGCCGCUCGAAGUCGGUUGGAAGGAAGGCGCAGAAGGCUCUUUCUGUCUCCAUGAAUCUCCUUGCAAAUGCAACCGCUGCUGCCAUUAGGACGCGGUCUCUGUUUGCAAAAAAAACUCAAUUCCUUCCAUUUCCUCAUCUGUUGGGUCCAUCAGCGUGCAGUGAGUGAUGCAAGGUCCCUUUGGGUCAACAGGCCGUCCCCUGAAAUAACUUUCAGAGCCCUGGCCUCAAGGUCAUGGGCCGGGUGGCCUCUACAGGCCACAGGUCAGGACCAGGAUGUGCCUGACUGAGGCUGUGCCACCGAGAGCUUCGGACGUGCAGAAAGGUGCCCUGAGCUGCACGGGGGGCUUCUGUCAGCCCCCUCCCACUCUACACAGAUUGAUGUGGCAAUAUUUAUUCCCAUUUAAUUGAGACACUGGUUUAAUUUCAGAUUGCUUCGGCUUAAGGCCCAAUGGGGUUUUCUGCAGCUCUUUUCCCCAGUGCCUCUACAGAAAUUAAUUGCUGUUAAUAUCCAAUUUUGGCUUUAUUAUUCGUUAGCCAAUUAUGUAUCCCAUAGCCCAGGCCCCUUGCUGCUCUCAGCCUUUGCUGGAAUCAGCUCACACUAUGCCGGGCUUCUGCUUUUCUGCCUUCCCCUCUAUUCAAACUCUGUCCUCCCAAGAUGAUUUACCGGCCCGUCAGGCAUUUUGCUUGUGUCCCAGCGCUAGCUGAGCUGGCGGAGGUGUCUUUAAGACGUUUUCCCCCUUUUGAGGGAAAUGUCUUCUUUGCAGUGGACAUAAUUUCCAUUUAAAAAGGAAUCUAAGCUUCUCCACUCUCGCUUCACUAUCCUAAGAUUUGCUUUCUCUGGAGCCAUUUUUGGAGAGCAGUUUUCCAUCAAAAGCAAGCAAGGUGCCCCGGCAUCAGGGCUCCCCUCCCCACCUCCCUAGGAGCCCCUCCGAGACUGUCUUAAAGCCACCACAUAUACAUAACACCAUAGAUUCAAACAGGGUGCUUGGAGGAUGUCAUUCCACAUUUCAAGGAGGGAAACUUGAAAAAGCACUAUUUUCAGAGAUGAGGAGGGCAGCUCUCCCCUCGUCCCCCACAGAGGCCCUGGAAACCAUUCCAGCCUUGCACUGCGCAACCCUGCUUGAUGGAGCUGAUGCAACUGGGGGCGAGAGCCUUUAAAAAGUGUUCUUUUGCCUUGGUUUUUUGUGCCUUGAGUUCACAGAAGCAAACACUUCCCAUCACUGGUGCUCUGGAAACAGAAACAUACAAUUCCGUAACAACCUGCGCAGUGUCGGCAUCAGAACCGAAUGCAGAGAAAACAAAACGUCAGAGCCGCUGGCUUGGACUGCGGCCCCUACAGAUGAAGCCCGAGCCUUCUACUCCUACCUCAGCAUCUUGCCGCCUUCAUGUGGACAAUUAAUCAACAGCAACAGCAUAGUGUGAAGUAGAGAUAGAGUCUUGAUAUGUUCCCCAGGCUGCUCUGGAAUUCUUGGACUCAAGCAAUCCUCCUGACUUGGCCUCCCAAAGUGCUGGGAUUACAGGCUCCUAUUCCAAAUCGGAUGAAGCACUGAAAACAAAGCACUUUCACAUCCUUCACCCUGAUCUGUAGCAUAUUCUUCAGAACUCUUAUGAUUUCAAGUGACAGAAACCCAAUCUGAACCAGCUGAAACACUCAGAGGCAUUUAGUAUCUCAUGGAACCCAGUGCCCCAGGGACAGGCGGAAACGCUGACUUGAACAUCUCUUUCUGAGUUUCUCAUCUCAGCGCCUCUCUGCAGAUGUUGAAAUCUUCUUUUUUUCUGCUAACUGGCCUCUGCUUCCCAGGUUCACAGCAAGAAACAUGGCCAUUGGGAUGUCCCAAGCUUUGCAUUUUAUAGCCCAGCUUAGGUCAGGUGGCCACCCCUGUGCCAGUCAACUUGACCGAAUGGAUGGAAAACCUCAACUGAUCAAGCUGGAGUUAAGUGCAUGCAGGGAGCACCUAUGGUAACUGCGGAUGGCAGGGAGGGCAGCCACCUAGAAAAAGGUACUGCUGGCCAGGUAAGACCACAGGUAUCCACAACUACCACCAAUCUGCUGUGAACAGUUCCUCUGAAGUUGUGCAAUAAGCAAGCCGUGUGAUGCUGGUCUUGGUAGAAUAUCUUAUUUCUAAACUCCAAACCAUCAGAUUGGCCUCUACCUCCCCAUUUGCCCUCCUCAGAAGAUCUUGACACCCAAGUUCACCCCAUCCUCUGGAGUCCUGUGGUUUGAAAUACUGACCAUUUGUCCCAAUCCUGGAGCCAAGGUCCCAGCAUGCUCUGUGUCCAAGUUCAGAUUACCACAAAAGCUGGUUGUGAAGACCACAAGUUGUUACCUAUUUGUUUUUUAACCAGUUGUAUAUACAACAUUUGGUGCUUUUCACAACACCACACUACCUCUGUCUUACUGUACUGUUUCUCUCCCUAGCAAGCUACCAACAUUUCCUCUCUCCUCCCUAAAACAUGAAAAAAGGAGAGAGAGAGAGAGAGAGAGACGCAGGUAAUGCCUAUACUCUCAUCUCCUAAGGGGUCCUUGAGACAAUGGAUUCCAAAGAGCAGUUUGGAACAUGAAGAAAACCCCAAUGGGGAGGCCCUGCUCCCAAGUCUCACUAAUUCUGGAUUUAAUUCUCCCCUGUGGGCCAGGUGGUGAAUUAGUGGCCCUCCCACCCUACCUUCUGUUUUCUAUGAUCUCGUCUCAUCUAAUAAAGGCUCCAGAUCUGAAAGUCUCUGAGACCAGAACCUUAGUCCAAUUAAACCCUGCUAAAGCAAACAAACUUGGGAAAGACAAAGAGGUGAAGAGGUUAACAGCAGACAAAACCUCCACUGACAAGCUAAAUUAGCCUUGCCCACCUCAGGAGAAGGUGUAAGGUGGACAGCGGAGACUGCUGGUAGUGAUUAACAUUUGCUCGAAAUUCUAAGGAGCUAAUUUUUUUUCCAAGUUAAAUGUUAACCUGUGAAAAGAGGAACAGUAACUAUGCGAAGAGGAAUGUGAAGAAGAAAACAGAAAGACCAGCCUGCUGGGUGGAUGUCUUCCUCCCAAAGUAGUCGAGACCAGGGAUUCUGAGGAAUAGUUUUCCAUUUAUCCUUCAUCAUCUCCAUUCAACAGGGCCGCUGAGCUCCAGAUGAGCAUGGAAAGAUGGAGGAGCUGCCAAACCUGACUUUGGAGGCCCUGGUCAGGAGCCCGUUGGAGGCCUUCCAGUUUUACACCCUUUGUGAAUUUGUCCGUGGGGUGGGUUUGUUCUGAUGCCAUGAGUAGCUUCCACUGGAAAAGGCACCAUCUCCACCCAACAUUUUAGGUAUGCUGGUGCAUUGGGAGGACAUUCUUGGUGCCAAUAAUCGUCUGAAGAUUCUUUGCUAUCCUUUGGUAGAGGCUCUAUUUACCACAAUGAAGAGUAGAAAGAUUAUGAUGUGAGUGUGUUUUGGUGUGUGUGUGUGUGUGUGUGUAUGUGUGUGACUAUUAGUGAAAACUGCUAGUAGUAUGUCAGUGUGGAGAGAAAUUCAGUCCUCCCGCAAGUGGUGAGGCUCAAUAUUAAGGGACAGAACAUCAGUGAGCACCACAUUAAGGCACUAUUCUCGACAUCUGGGAAGAAGCAAAGAAAAAUGUGUCAUGCCUCUUACCUUUUAGGGACUUAUAAUACAGGAAAGAGAAGACUUGUAUAAAUGGCUAAAAAUAUACUGAGGAGUAUAACUAAUAACUAAUGCAGAGUGUGCUGGUAAAAGGUUGUGUGGGUUCAGGAAUGUCAAAAGUUGCAGCUGCUGUGAAAGCCAAUAUGGCGGGUCCUCAAAAAAUUAAAUGUAGAAUUACCAUAUGACUCGGCAACUCCACUUCCGGGUAUGUUCUUAAAACGAUUGAAAGCAGAGACUCAGACAGAUAAUUGCACACCCAUGUUCACAGCAGCAUUAUUCACAAUCGCCAAAAUGUGGAAGCAACCCAAGUGUCCACUGGCCAAUGAAUGAAUGAGUAAAACAUGCUAUGUAUCAACAGUAGAAUAUUAUUCAACCUUAAAAGGAAACAAAUUCUGGUACGUGUUACAACAUAGAUGAACCUUGAGUGGAAGAAGAAAACAGAAAGAGCAGUCCGCUGGGUGGAUGUCUUCUUCCCAAAGUAGUUGGGAUCAGGAAUGCUGAGAAACAAUUCCCCAUUCAUCCUUCAACAUCUCCAUUCAACAGGGCCACUGAGCUCCAGGAUGAGCAUGGAAGGAUGGAGGAGCUGCCAAGCUUGACCUUGGGGACCCAGGUCAGGAGCCUUCUGGAGACCUUCCAGUUUUAUGCCCUUCGUGAAUUUGUUUGUGGGAUGAACUCUAUGAAGUGAACUAAACCAAUCACACACAAAAAAUAAAACUGUA
rnacentral:lncRNA from 1 species